rnacentral:rRNA from 1 species
CCUACGGGAGGCAGCAGUGAGGAAUAUUGGUCAAUGGACGAGAGUCUGAACCAGCCAAGUAGCGUGAAGGAUGACUGCCCUAUGGGUUGUAAACUUCUUUUAUAUGGGAAUAAAAUGUUCCACGUGUGGGAUAUUGUAUGUAUCACAUGAAUAAGGAUCGGCUAACUCCGUGCCAGUAGCCGCGGUAAUACGGAGGAUCUGAGCGUUAUCCGGAUUUAUUGGGUUUAAAGGGAGCGUAGGUGGAUUGUUAAGUCAGUUGUGAAAGUUUGCGGCUCAACCGUAAAAUUGCAGUUGAAACUGGCAGUCUUGAGUAUAGGAGAGGUAGGCGGAAUUCGUGGUGUAGCGGUAAAAUGCGUAGAUAUCACGAAGAACUCCGAUUGCGAAGGCAGCUCGCUGGACUACAACUGACGCUGAGGCUCGAAAGUGUGGGUAGCAAACAGGAUUAGAUACCCGGGUAGUC